CAUUUAAGUUUUAAGGCGGACUGUGGUGCCUCUGGCAGCUCUCCUCUCCCACCCCUCUCUGCUCUGGUCCUGAGGACUCCCAGCUGUUUCCACUCAACUCGUCUAUCCACAGCCUUCAUGAGGAGAUCCAGAUCCAGCAUUCAUCGCCAGUUCGUUGCUGCUCCAUGGGAACAAACCCUCCACGAGUGUAAACCUGGGAACCACCCUUUAAAACCUUCGGACCUCCUCGUUCAAGCCAUUAUCCUGUUCAUGCCUAACCUCCAGCACAGCCCUUGCAGUAAGACCUCCAGCCACGCCACGACUUCAAGCCUGAAUUCCGGUUUCUCGCCUAGCUACUCACCUGCAGUCACCAGCCAUCACCGCCUACGGAUCCACGUCCUGCAAAAAUAAAUCACCUUACUCACUUACACUUACCUUACUCUCUCCUGUUUUCCUUCCGGGUUCCAGCAUCUGGGUCUUUUUUCGUUUCUUGCAAAACCUGACACUAACUGUUUCUCUUAUUUAAGAACAAUAUAUAUAUAUAUUGAAUAAAUAUAUAGAUACAUGAAUAUAUAUAAAUUAUAUAAAAGCUACUUAGAUGCCACUAAAGGCUAUAGAAAUCAUUGCCAUGUGGGUGCCGACGACCUCGCCAAGAUGGCGUUGCAGCCCGCCACCGUCGGCCAGGCUUCCCAAGUGAGCGUGUCUCCUCUAGCGAUAUAACUCAUUGAAGAGAACUCAUGCUAAUGACUGGGGGAAAAAAAUCUGUUAUUUCUUCUUUUUCUUUUAAAAAACCUUAGGAUGUAAUCAGAAAGGACAAAAUAAUCAAAUUUACUCGCUCAAAAUGAGUAAAUAUGAAUGUAGAAAUUCACACAUGAAAUAAGCAUAAAUAAAAAAGUGACAGAAAUCGAACAGCAGAGCAGAGCUUUUGUCUAAAAACAGGAGAAGCAUAAAUAUCUCCUUCAUCUAACAAUCAAGUCUUUACCAAAUGCACAGAAAAAUAUUGAGAUACUUGUUAAAUUGUUUGGUAUUUGGCAGCUUUGCUGUUGUAGAACACAAGAUGGUAUAAAGAAUCUUUACCGAACAAGAAAACUCAGAGCACUGCAAGGCAAGCCUUUAAAGUUAAAUACUGACGCUUUCGCCAUUUAAAACUGUAGCUUAAAUGUAAAAGACUACAAAGACAAUUUGCCAAAAUCUUUUGUAGUUGGUUUUAGCACAAAGUUUUAAUUGAUCUAAACUUGAUGAGUUUUGUUUAAAAUAUCUGUUUUGUAUCUUAUGAUCUGCCUGUUGUUUGCCUUUUUUUGAAGCUCAUAACAGAUGAAGAUGUGGAAAUAGAGGGAAAUGUUUUACCUUUCAUUUGCCUCUGAGGUUUCAUUGAAAUGUUCUGGUAAUCAAAGCCUUUCAAUGUUAAAAAAUAAACGGCAAUUGCAGGCGACAGUUCUUCAAAGUUUCCAUGUUUUGGACAUUUUUAAGCUUAAAGUCUUGUUUAUUUACUCAUCUUUUUUCUUACCUCAUCGAACAAAGAACAAAGGUUUUGAAAUGUAAUUUAAUUAACAAAAAAUUGUUUUCAAGUGAUGGGGUUUGAAUUUUAGAGGACAAUUUAGAAAGCUAAAAGCUUCUCUUUAAUCUUUCAAAUUGAGUUUAUAAAGUCAUCGAGUCAGUAAGAUGAUAAGAAAAGUGACACUAAAUAUAAAUGAAAAGAAAAUCCUAUUUGGUUCCUUUUGAAUGUAAAAAGCAUCUAUGGAUGUGUCAAGUUAGAGCUGCACAAAAACCCGUAGGAUUUUGUGUGGAAACUAACGUGUUUUCAAUUUAAAUCUUCUAAAAAUGGAGGCAAAUUGUGGCACAUUUGGGGUUCCAUACAGGAAAUAAGCUUGACUUUAAUUUCAACAAAGAAGGAUUUACCUUUGAAGAGCUCUUAUUUUAAUGCACUAAGUUUGGCAGUUCUUGUUAGAAUUAAACAGAUUAAGCACAUUUUUGUAAUUUAUGUUAUUUUUAGCUGAGACUAGCGUGCCACUGUUCAGUUUUGAGGUUACACCUGUAAAAUGAUGCUUGUUAAAACCCAUUUUACGCAAAUAUUUCAGACAAAUGUAUUUUACCUGUGACUGAUAGGGGUGCUAAAUGUCUCAAAAAUGAAUGUUUUCUUGAACCUAGCAGUGUUUUGUGAGGUAGUAACAUGCACUUUGACAUUUUCUGUUUUAAAAAGUUCUAUUGAAUAAACUGGUGUUAUCCCCUCCAUUA